UGCUUUGGCAGUACGCUGGCUUCUUAGAGGGACUAUCCGCUCAAGCGGAUGGAAGUUUGAGGCAAUAACAGGUCUGUGAUGCCCUUAGAUGUUCUGGGCCGCACGCGCGUUACACUGACGGAGCCAGCGAGUACUUCCUUGACAGAGAUGUCCG
rnacentral:rRNA from 1 species